CCUACGGGGGGCAGCAGUGGGGAAUAUUGGACAAUGGGGGCAACCCUGAUCCAGCCAUGCCGCGUGUGUGAAGAAGGCCCUCGGGUUGUAAAGCACUUUCAGUGAGGAAGAACGCCUGGUGGUUAAUACCCAUCAGGAAAGACAUCACUCACAGAAGAAGCACCGGCUAACUCCGUGCCAGCAGCCGCGGUAAUACGGAGGGUGCGAGCGUUAAUCGGAAUUACUGGGCGUAAAGCGCGCGUAGGUGGCUUGAUAAGCCGGUUGUGAAAGCCCCGGGCUCAACCUGGGAACGGCAUCCGGAACUGUCCAGCUAGAGUGCAGGAGAGGAAGGUAAAAUUCCCGGUGUAGCGGUGAAAUGCGUAGAGAUCGGGAGGAAUACCAGUGGCGAAGGCGGCCUUUUGGACUGACACUGACACUGAGGUGCGAAAGCGUGGGUAGCAAACAGGAUUAGAUACCCUUGUAGUC
rnacentral:rRNA from 1 species